UGAAAUGACUCUUCUUAGUCAGUUGGUUCC
rnacentral:piRNA from 1 species